rnacentral:rRNA from 1 species
GAUCAUUAAAAGUAAUCAGUACUCUGUACUAAUUAUAAACCCAUCUGUGUAUCUUACCUGUUGCUUCCGUGGGGUGCGGUGGCUUCGGCCGCCGCUUGACCCACGGGAGGUCUACACCAAACCAUUGCAUUGCCAUGAUCUCAGUCUGAAAUGUAAAAAACAAAAGUUAAAACUUUCAACAACGGAUCUCUUGGUUCUCGCAUCGAUGAAGAACGCAGCGAAAUGCGAUAAGUAGUGUGAAUUGCAGAAUUCAGUGAAUCAUCGAAUCUUUGAACGCACAUUGCGCCUCCUGGUAUUCCGGGAGGCAUGCCUGUUCGAGCGUCAUUAAAGACCACUCAAGCGAUUUUGCUUGGUAUUGGAAGAGGAGUGCCUCUGGCCCUCCCUUCCGAAAUCCAAUGGCGGAAAGUCUCACGUGCCCCGGCGUAGUAAGUUUAUCUUUCGCUUGGACUCUGAGGCAUUCUCGCCCUCAAAUCCCCAAUACUAUAGGUUGACCUCGGAUCAGGUAGGGAUACCCGCUGAACUUAAGCAUAUCAAUAAGCGGAGGAAAAGAAACCAACAGGGAUUGCCUUAGUAACUGCGAGUGAAGCGGCAAAAGCUCAAAUUUGAAAUCUGGCGCCUUCGGCGUCCGAGUUGUAAUUUGGAGGGAUAUCUUCGGGGCUGGCGCCGUCCUAAGUUCCUUGGAACAGGACGUCACAGAGGGUGAGAAUCCCGUGCCUGGACGGAUGUCCAGCUCCAUGUGAAGUGUCUCCGACGAGUCGAGUUGUUUGGGAAUGCAGCUCAAAAUGGGUGGUAAAUUUCAUCUAAAGCUAAAUAUUGGCGAGAGACCGAUAGCGCACAAGUAGAGUGAUCGAAAGAUGAAAAGCACUUUGAAAAGAGAGUUAAAAAGUACGUGAAAUUGUUGAAAGGGAAGCGCUUGCGACCAGACUCGACCUUUGGCGAUCAGCCGGGCUUCGGCUCGGUGCCAUCGCCAUUGGUUGGGCCAGCAUCGGUUCCGACGGCGGGAUAAAAGGCGAAGGAAUGUGGCCUCUCUCGGGGGGUGUUAUAGCCUUCGCCACAAUGCCGCCAGUCGGGACCGAGGACCGC